rnacentral:lncRNA from 1 species
UCAUAAUAGCAUCUUGUCUCUCUCGGUAGGCCAAAAUACAUGUCAGUUUAUUUAAUUUUCUAAUUUUGGACUUUCAAACUUAUUUUCUAAUUAGAAAUAAUUUGAGGAAGUAGAGGUCCAUUACAUUUUUCAAAAAUGCAAUUUUCUUGCUGAUCUAUUAAUAGUAUAGUAUUUUUAAAUGUUUUACUAAGAAGGUAAUUUUAGGAUUAAAGGAUAAUUUAUGUAAUGUCAAAUAGCAGUAAUAAUAGUAAUUCAGUGAAUACAUUGCUUAUCAAUUACCCUCUUUUUCUCAGCAACUUUUUCUGCUUUGUUUUGGAGGCAUCAACUACCAACUGGUCAUUCACUGGUUUGCCAUUUUUAGCUCCAAAAUUUGGUAUGCUCUGACCAAUUUUUAUUCAAAUGUGUGAGUUAAGACUAACAAUUCAUGAUUUUAAAUAUUUCCUGAGUCAUUUUUGUCUGUGUACUGAGUCCAGCUAAGUAGAAAUUACCUAUUUCCAGGUUGUAGUAUUAUAUAUAGUAUAUAUAAUUGUAGCAUAUUAUUACAGUUAUAUGUACAAUAUACUAAUGUAAUACAUUGUAAAUAAAUACUAUUGUAUAAAUGUUAUACAGUGUUUGUUAUAAAAUAUUAUUUUACAAUGUGUAUUUUAAUAUGUUUAAUAUAUUCAAUAAAACUCUUAUUUGCAUGCCUGCAUGCUUAUGAAUGGAAAUGAAUAAAUUUGUUUCCUAGGAACAAGUUUCCAUAGCUCAUAAACACUUAAGUAUUUCUCAUCAGUGCUCUAGAAGUUUUUCCCUAAACAAAGCAGUCUUUGUCUUUUUCAUGACAUAGUUUUUCUGUUUUAGCAUACAUCAGUUUUGAAGUCUGUAAUCUGCAUUAUAUAUAGCCUGCAGGUUGUGAGUGAGGUAGCCACUUUCUCCUUUACUGGAAAGGGGAAUGUUUUCCUGUGCCACCAUGUAAUUUGCUUUGCAACAAUUAUUGCUGUUUGUAACCAGAUCUUCUGAUCACAAGACACAUGUAGCUGAAUUUAGAAUCUGAAGAGAACACAGAAGGCAGCAUGACUGCUUCUAAAUGUCAUUGAUUUAAUGAUUUUAACUCAUAAAAAAUUUUAAAGUUCAAAUGCAUGAAUCCAAAUUAUUCAUUUCUGAAAUGUACUUUAAAUAAAUUCGGCAGUGUUCUGUUGUUGCAAA